rnacentral:rRNA from 1 species
GGACUACUAGGGUAUCUAAUCCUGUUUGCUCCCCCGGCUUUCGUGACUCAGCGUCAAUAACGGUCCAGUUACCUGCUUUCGCCUUCGGUGUUCCUCCUGAUAUCUACGCAUUUCACCGCUACACCAGGAAUUCCAGUAACCUCUCCCGUAUUCAAGUCCGGCAGUAUCCAUUGGCCUCCCCGGGUUGAGCCCGGGGCUUUCACAACGGACUUGCCGAACCGCCUGCUCACGCUUUACGCCUAGUAAUUCCGAGUAACGCUCGCCACCUUCGUCUUACCGCGGCUGCUGGCAC